UACGUAGGGGGCAAGCGUUGUCCGGAUUUACUGGGCGUAAAGCGCGUGUAGGCGGUAACGAAAGUCCGGUGUGAAAGCCCCCCGCUCAACGGGGGAAGGUCGCUGGAAACUGCGUUACUUGAGGGCGGCAGAGGGAAGUGGAAUUGCUGGUGUAGCGGUGAAAUGCGUAGAGAUCAGCAGGAACACCCGUGGCGAAGGCGGCUUCCUGGGCCGCGCCUGACGCUGAGACGCGAAAGCGUGGGGAGCGAACAGG
rnacentral:rRNA from 1 species